ACUUAUUCUCAGGGCGGGGUGAAAUUCCCCACCGGCGGUAUCUCAGUUAUACUGAGGAGCCCGCGAGCGCUCUUUAACUUUAAAGAGGUCAGCAGAACUGGUAAAAAGCCAGUGCCGACGGUAUAGUCCGGAUGGAAGAGGAUAAGG
rnacentral:ncRNA from 2 species